UACGUAGGGUGCAAGCGUUGUCCGGAAUUAUUGGGCGUAAAGAGCUCGUAGGCGGUCUGUCGCGUCUGCUGUGAGAACUCGGGGCUUAACCCCGGGCCUGCAGUGGGGUACGGGCAGACUAGAGUGCGGUAGGGGAGACUGGAAUUCCUGGUGUAGCGGUGAAAUGCGCAGAUAUCAGGAGGAACACCGGUGGCGAAGGCGGGUCUCUGGGCCGUAACUGACGCUGAGGAGCGAAAGCAUGGGGAGCGAACAGG
rnacentral:rRNA from 1 species